CAGCAGCCGCUGGAAUACAGAGGGUGCGAGCGUUAAUCGGAUUUACUGGGCGUAAAGCGUGCGUAGGCGGCUUCUUAAGUCGGAUGUGAAAUCCCUGAGCUUAACUUAGGAAUUGCAUUCGAUACUGGGAAGCUAGAGUAUGGGAGAGGAUGGUAGAAUUCCAGGUGUAGCGGUGAAAUGCGUAGAGAUCUGGAGGAAUACCGAUGGCGAAGGCAGCCAUCUGGCCUAAUACUGACGCUGAGGUACGAAAGCAUGGGGAGCAAACAGGAUUAGAUACCCCAGUAGUCCCUGUCUCUUAUAC
rnacentral:rRNA from 1 species